CUCCGUCGUUCAUGACAUCUUGUGCAUUCACUUUGUGGAGCGUUGCUCUGCCGAUCUCGAGUGCCCUGGCCGACUGAAGUGCUGCGACGCAAAGUGUGAACGCUAUUGCAUGCAGCCACAAGAAGGUGUGCACAAGCUCGGGUUGUGUCCUCUGGCGAGUAAGGUUGUGUGCACCCGGCUUGAAGAGGGCUGCAGCAGUGACUUGGAAUGCCCAGGGGAGUUCAAGUGCUGCCUCGUCUCGUGCGGCCGGGCAUGUGUGCAGCCUGGCCUAGAUUCUACAAAACGCUCCGGUCCAUUUCAGUAACAUGGACUCGCAUGGCCUACAUAAUUUAAGACUGCGUUUAUAAUUAUGCUGUUUUUAUACUUUUAAUAUUCUAAUGCUCAAUAAAGGUUUUCUGGUAGAUGUUUCAAUUGUGACAUG